GGGACUAUAGUUAAUAAUAACAUUUGAGUUGCAUUCAAAAAGUACUACCACGUAGUUAGCCUCA
rnacentral:tRNA from 1 species